rnacentral:rRNA from 1 species
AUUGAACGCUGGCGGCAGGCCUAACACAUGCAAGUCGAACGGUAACAGAAAGCAGCUUGCUGCUUUGCUGACGAGUGGCGGGCGGGUGAGUAAUGUCUGGGAAACUGCCUGAUGGAGGGGGAUAACUACUGGAAACGGUAGCUAAUACCGCAUAACGUCGCAAGACCAAAGAGGGGGACCUUCGGGCCUCUUGCCAUCGGAUUUGACCAGGUGGGAUUAGCUAGUAGGUGGGGUAACGGCUCACCUAGGCGACGAUCCCUAGCUGGUCUGAGAGGAUGACCAGCCACACUGGAACUGAGACACGGUCCAGACUCCUACGGGAGGCAGCAGUGGGGAAUAUUGCACAAUGGGCGAAAGCCUGAUGCAGCCAUGCCGCGUGUAUGAAGAAGGCCUUCGGGUUGUAAAGUACUUUCAGCGGGGAGGAAGGGAGUAAAGUUAAUACCUUUGCUCAUUGACGUUACCCGAAGAAGAAGCCCCGGCUAACUACGUG